ACACGUAUGAAAGACAAGCUGAAAGACUUUUCUCAAUGAUGUAAGUGGUGGUGCAUGGUCGUUCUUAGUUCGUGGAUUGAUUUGUCUGGUCUAUUCCGAUAACGAGCGAGACCCCGGCGUUCCUAAUAGGGGCCGCAGCCCGGCUCGCCUGCUUCGGCAGGCUUGCUAGCAGCAGCCUUCCUAGCUUCUUAGACGUAUCAGAGCCGAUAAGGUUCUUGAAAUGGGUUAAUAACAGGUCAGUCAUGCCCUUAGAUGUUCUGGGCCGCACGCGCGUUACAAUGGUAUACAUUAAAAAGUGCUUCUCAAGGGCGUCUCCGCGGCCUACGGGUCGCGGUAACCCCUAAUCUCUCCCUUGACUGGGACAGACUAUUGCAAUUAUUGGUCUCCAACGAGGAAUUUUUAGUAGGCGCAGGUCAUUAGCCUGUGCCGA
rnacentral:rRNA from 1 species